CCUCUGCCUUCGCUUUCCUCUUCUUCUCCUCUACUUCGUCGUCUUCUUCUUCUUCUUCUUCGCCUGCGCCUGCGCAGACAUCGUCUUCUAUCGAAACGACAUCCCGUGCGUUAAUCAAGCUCAAUCACCCUGUGGUUAUCUUGAUUUCUUCCGAUGGGUUCCGGUUCGGGUACCAAUUCAAGACUCCAACGCCCAAUAUUCACCGUUUGAUCGCCAACGGGACUGAGGC
rnacentral:misc_RNA from 1 species